UACGUAGGGUGCAAGCGUUGUCCGGAAUUAUUGGGCGUAAAGAGCUCGUAGGCGGUCUGUCGCGUCGGUUGUGAAAAUCCAGGGCUCAACCCUGGACCUGCAUUCGAUACGGGCAGACUAGAGUUCGGUAGGGGAGACUGGAAUUCCUGGUGUAGCGGUGAAAUGCGCAGAUAUCAGGAGGAACACCGGUGGCGAAGGCGGGUCUCUGGGCCGAAACUGACGCUGAGGAGCGAAAGCGUGGGGAGCGAACAGG
rnacentral:rRNA from 1 species